AACGAACGCUGGCGGCAGGCCUAACACAUGCAAGUCGAGCGGCAGCGCGUCCGACCACCCUCGGGUGGUCGGAUGGCGGCGAGCGGCGGACGGGUGAGGAAUGCAUCGGAAUCUGCCUCGUUGUGGGGGAUAACGUAGGGAAACUUGCGCUAAUACCGCAUACGACCUACGGGUGAAAGUGGGGGACCUUCGGGCCUCACGCGAUGAGAUGAGCCGAUGCCGGAUUAGCUAGUUGGCGGGGUAAAGGCUCACCAAGGCGACGAUCUGUAGCGGGUCUGAGAGGAUGAUCCGCCACACUGGAACUGAGACACGGUCCAGACUCCUACGGGAGGCAGCAGUGGGGAAUUUUGGACAAUGGGCGCAAGCCUGAUCCAGCCAUGCCGCGUGAGUGAAGAAGGCCUCGGUGUAAG
rnacentral:rRNA from 1 species